rnacentral:rRNA from 1 species
CGGGACGGGUGAGUAACGCGUGGAAAACCUGCCGUAUACUGGGGGAUAACACUUAGAAAUAGGUGCUAAUACCGCAUAAGCGCACAGCUUCGCAUGAAGCGGUGUGAAAAACUCUGGUGGUAUACGAUGGUUCCGCGUCUGAUUAGCUAGUUGGUGGGGUAAUGGCCUACCAAGGCAACGAUCAGUAGCCAGCCUGAGAGGGUGAACGGCCACAUUGGGACUGAGACACGGCCCAAACUCCUACGGAAGGCAGCAG